rnacentral:rRNA from 1 species
AACAGCCAAAACUUUCAACAACGGAUCUCUUGGCUCUGGCAUCGAUGAAGAACGCAGCGAAAUGCGAUACGUAAUGCGAAUUGCAGAAUCCAGCGAGUCAUCGAAUCUUUGAACGCACAUUGCGCCCGCCAGCAUUCUGGCGGGCAUGCCUGUCCGAGCGUCAUUUCCCCCCUCAGCGCGCCCUCUGGGUGCGCUGGCGUUGGGGCUCCUCCGCCCUCUGGGGCG